CAGCUUAGGCGGGAGGGAGGAACCGGCAGUCUGUCCGUGAUUCAGCAACAGUACACUUGCACCUUUGUUUUACACCUGUGAACGCCUUGCCCCUUCGCCUUGACACCUUGGAGCGCCAGAGACUGAGUGGAGAAGUGGACCAGUGAUAAGACUUGCACGCGUAUUUGCAAGGUGAGUGGCGCUCCUUGCAAGGCUCAGGUGUGCUGUGGAGAAGCUCAGGUGUGCUUUGGAGAGGCUAAGGAAGCGGGUGGAGCUACUAGCCAAGACCGCCCCUCUGUCACAUCGCCACCUCAGCCUGUUUUCUGUGGCGGUUGGUGGGUGUUAUCACUGUUCCGGGUGCUCCUAACAGCGGAAGAGGAAAUGCAGAGUAGCCGCAGUUCACCUAGCAGUGAUAAGGAACCUGGUGCAAGUCUGGAGCUGUGGCCCGCUGCUUAGGAAGGAGAAACAAACUCCUGAAAAAAAAAAAAAAUACACUGGGUUGUCUGAUCAUCCCGGGUCUGCUAAGUUGGCUGGCGCAGUGUAGAUUUUCAGCCGCACACCUGUUGGCUGCUGCACACCUGGUCUUCUCACCUGCCCCCACUACAGGUUAGUAACUGAGGAAACAAAGGCAAAGUUGUGAAUGUGUGCGGCAAGCAGUAGCGCUCCUCACUGGCCCGCCGGGAGAUGCUGAAUUAAGCGCAGCGAGGGCCGUCGUCGAAAUUGCCAGCUCUACUCAUGCUCCGGCCGUCAUUCCCUGCCUGCAGUGUCAAGCCUCGCUCAAGAAUCCUCGUAUCCAUGCAAGCCAACAAAUUUUUAUUCCUUUUUCUAUUGUUCUUGCUGUUGAGAAGAGUGUUUUUUUUUUUUUUUUUUUCUUCAGGAAACGUCAUCCACUUAAUGAUUUACGACGUGUUGUGAGAAAAGAAAAAAAAAAGGAUGUAGAUUAGUUUCGUUCAGUAAAAGCACGGUUACUUGUCCAAGCGCUCGAAACACAUGGACAUAUUUUCAGCUCCUGGGAAUUCAGUGUCCUGUUGAACUAAUCUGCAUCAUAAAAUAAUUUGUUUUGCACGGCUUUAAAAUAUGUGUCGUGACUUGACUGUAGCACAUCAGGUUAUUUGUCCAACUCCACCUAGCAGGGUUCAUUCUCAUUAGGGUGAUUAAAAGCGUCACUUGCACGUUGGUGGUGAGCUAAUCGAUCCACCAGUGAGUUUUUUCCCUGUGCAUUCUUAAACGUUCCGGCGUGUAUGUCAACAACUUCUGAAAUUUGCUGGAGUUUCUAUGGUAUUUUCGUAACUCGUUUCAUGCUUAACAUGAUUUCCAUGCUAUCAGUAGAUAAAACAUUCUUGAUAGCGCAACCAAUAUUCUCUGGAACCCUUGAAAAUACUCGUAACCUGCAACAUUGAUAGGAAAAACACCCAUGAUAACCCGGAUAGUCAUCUCUGGUUUUUGCAAUAGUUCAGGGGAGAGAACAAAGCGUUUCAUAAUACUGUUAUUUUGUCUUGCUUUCCCUUGCUGUCAUAUCGAGUCACUAAAUCCACUCCAGGUCCAAAACGCAGCUGAGAACCAGACAACAAACCUUGCUCUCCUCAUCUCGUGUUGAUCUGCCAGUUUCUCAAGCAUUGAUGUUAUAUUGGGGACAAUAUUUCUCUCCAUCUUAUUAAAUGAAUAGUUUCUGCAUAUAGUGGCAGCAACAGGAUAAAGAACUCUUUUUAUAAAUCUAUUGAUCUCCCUUUACCAAGUGCGUGUAUUACCAGACAAACAGCAGGAUUUGAUAAGAAAAGAACGCUCCUAAUCCUUUCUUAAUCUGCCAUUUUCUCAAGUAUUGGUGUAACACUGGUGGCAGCGGUGGGAUUAGCUGGACUUACACGAUGAGUUGGAGGAUAAUUCAGUUUAAGCCAGUCAACCAUUUCCUCCUGAAGAGAAAUUGCCUUCUCCCCGGAGUUACGCUGGCGAGUUGUAUGAUGGACGUGUGUGAGAAACUCCACAAAUUAAUUUCAGGAAAGGAUUGAUAUCUAGGCAACUGGCCAUUAGUGUUGUUAAUCUGCUGAUGGCCAAACGUGUGUGGGAGGAUGGGGGGAAAGGGGGGGAGGAUUAUCAGAUGAGAUACAAACAUGAAACACAGCAGGCAGACAUUGAGUGUGUUAUUAUUGAGAAUUCUGGGAAGGUUGUGGAAUCAAUGGAGGAGCAAGGACUGUGUUUUCUGCCAUUAUGAAAUUGUCAGGUGGCCAUAUUUCAGUGUUCUGUCCCGGCAAUGUAUUCCCUGCAAUUUACUUGAGUCUAUUUAUCACGCAGCUCGUGGGCAUGAUAGAUAGUGAAAUCGAUACAUGAACACCGUACCUUGAAGAAAAAAUAAAUAAAGUAAAAAAAGAAAAAACUAAGAGACUCGUAUAUUAAAUUAAACCACCGAGUUCCCUGAGAAAGUUUAAUAUUUUACGAAAGUAUGGAAGUAAGGAAAAGGGGAGAGAGGCAAAGAGAGGAGGAAAGGAGGAAGGAAGGAAGGAAAAAUACUUAAAGAAUCUGAUUUAUCUGUACUUAAAGAGUCAAGAUUAAUGUUUGGUUUGUUGUGGUGGUGGUUGUGGUGGUAGUGGUGAAAAAUAUUUACUAAAAUGUUUGCUGUCAUGUGGAAGAUGUUUGAUGAUUAAUCGUGAUUUUGGUUUUGUUGUUGCUCCUGAGAGAGACAGACAGAGACAGAGAGAGAGAGAGAGAGAGAGAGAGAGAGAGAGAGAGAGAGAGAGAGAGAGAGAGAGAGAGAGAGAGAGAGAGAGAGAGAGAGGGGUGUAGUUGAGAGAGAGGAUGGGGAGGAAACAAAAUUCAUUCGUUUUCAAUUUGAUAGCGAAUUUUCUCUACCAUGAGUAUUUGUUUUAUGAUGUGCGGUAAAAUGUAGUAAUAGUAACAGCAGCAGCAGUAGUAGUAGUAGUAAUAGUAGUAGUAGUGAAGUAGUAGUACAAUAACAAGCAACAUCAGGAACCUUAUAAGUAGUAGCAAUUUGUGUAGUAGUAAUAGAAGUUCCACAGUAGGAGCACAAAUAGUAAAAAGUAUAGAGAAAACAACAUUUUCAUCAGGUUAACUUUAAAUUUUGCAUGAAAUCUUUGCGGAAUGAAAUAGACCAAUAAAGUAAUAACAUUGUGCGCUACAGAUAAAAAAAAAAAAAAAAAGAUACACUUUUACUACAAUUUUUGCUGUUUUAUCGUUAAAAUAUAAACAAUUUCAGUACGCUUUCCUGCCUUACAUUGAGUGGACCCAUAAUACUAACAGUAACAGAGAGAGAGAGGGGAUGGAAAAAAUAGCAUGCAAUUGAAAAAACGGAUAUAGAAAUCAGGCUCCUGAGAGUGGGGCGAAAAUUGCGUCAGAUCAUCAGCAGUAAAAGCCAGACAUUUCCUACUCCAAAAUAUAAAAAAAAAAAAAAAAAAUUGUACCUUAUUUCUAUUUCCAUUUUUUCCCUCCUGAACGAAGCGAGGGAAACUAUGUGCUUCAGGGAAUACUGAGGUGUUAUGAAGGGUUAAUUUCCAAGUACUUUGAUGUUUUUUAUUCUUUUUUUUUCCAGUUAUGCACAUACUACUCUUAUAAUAUUUUGCUUUUUCGACGUGUGUAUCUAUAGAAUCUCCAAUAUUAGGAAAUCUCUUGGGUAAGUGUAUUUGAAUUAAUGUAUAUUCAAGGGUCCAUAGUGGCUUAUAUUUAUUCAUAUAUUUCUAUCUUCUUUUUUUCUUUUUUUUUUUUUCAUUUAAGCAACACAUGCGCCAAGAAUUCCCGAUUUUCGACUUGUAUUUGUUUCGAAUCUCGAGAAACUACAGCAUGACCUGAUUAUUUUUUCUCUUCUCACAUUCAUUCUCCCGUUUUCUACAGGUCCGUGAGAAUUUUUUUACGUUAAACUUACUUUUUUUUUCUUUUUACCUUUUUCGAUGUGUAUCUGUACAGAAUCUGAGAACGUAGUAGCAAAGUCUCCUUAUACGGGUUAUCAAAUCCCUGCCCGUCUUUCUAUGGCCAUGAAGGGAAUGUUAUUGGCAAGAUUCGACAUAUAUUUUGAUUAAGAGUGGCGAAAGAAAUAGAGAGAAGAGUCCAAAGGGGGUAAUACGGGAAAGGGAGACGCGGAGGAGAAGGAAAAGGAACGGAGGGAGGAAGGAAGGAAGAAGAGGAAGAAGGUUUGUAAGAUUAGAAGGAGGAAAGAAGAGGAGGAGGAGGAGUAAGAGGA